AUUGAACGCUGGCGGCAUGCUUUACACAUGCAAGUCGAACGGUAACAGGGUGCUUGCACCGCUGACGAGUGGCGAACGGGUGAGUAAUGCGUCGGAACGUGCCGAGUAGUGGGGGAUAACGCAUCGAAAGGUGUGCUAAUACCGCAUACGUACUGAGGUAGAAAGUGGGGGACCUUCGGGCCUCACGCUAUUCGAGCGGCCGACGUCUGAUUAGCUAGUUGGUGAGGUAAAGGCGCACCAAGGCGACGAUCAGUAGCGGGUCUGAGAGGAUGAUCCGCCACACUGGGACUGAGACACGGCCCAGACCCCUACGGGAGGCAGCAGUGGGGAAUCUUGGACAAUGGGCGCAAGCCUGAUCCAGCCAUGCCGCGUGUCUGAAGAAGGCCUUCGGGUUGUAAAGGACUUUUGUCCGGGAGCAAAUACCCAGUGCUAAUAACACUGGGGGCUGAGAGUACCGGAAGAAUAAGCACCGGCUAACUACGUGCCAGCCGCCGCCGUAAAAC
rnacentral:rRNA from 1 species